UACGGAGGGUGCAAGUGUUAUCCGGAUUCACUGGGUUUAAAGGGUGCGUAGGCGGGCAGGUAAGUCCGUGGUGAAAUCUCUGAGCUUAACUCAGAAACUGCCAUGGAUACUAUUUGUCUUGAAUAUUGUGGAGGUAAGCGGAAUAUGUCAUGUAGCGGUGAAAUGCUUAGAUAUGACAUAGAACACCAAUUGCGAAGGCAGCUUACUACACAGUUAUUGACGCUGAGGCACGAAAGCGUGGGGAUCAAACAGG
rnacentral:rRNA from 1 species